AUGCAGGGUUACAUGGACAACUUCGUGGACCAGACCGAGUUCUGGUACGAGAAGGGCGGCGACAACAAGCGCGACGACGACAAGUGGUGGAUGCCGACGGUGAAGGUGCCGGCGGAGGGCCUGUCCGAUGUGACCCGCAAGUGGCUGCAGUACCAGAAGGAGUGCGUGAACCAGGUGCUCAAGGCCGCCAUGGCCAUCAACGCGCAGGUGCUGGUGGAGAUGGAGAUCCCAGAGAUCUACAUCGAGUCGCUCCCCAAGAAGGGCAAGACGAGCCUGGGCGACGCCAUCUACCGGAGCAUCACCGAUGAGGAGUUCGAUCCGAUCGAGUUCCUGGAAGGGGUGGACCUGUCGACGGAGCACAAGGUGCUUGAUCUCAAGAACCGCAUCGAGGCCUCCACCAUCAUCUGGAAGCGCAAGAUGCAGACAAAGGACGCCAAGUCCUCCUGGGGUUCCAUCAUCAGCUUCGAGAAGCGCGAGCAGUUCGAGGAGCGCGCCGAGACCAUCCUCCACCUCCUCAAGCUUCAGUUCCCCGGAGCCCCACAGUCACAGCUCGACAUCUCCAAGAUCCAAUACAACAGGGAUGUUGGUUACGCUCUCCUAGAGAGCUACUCGCGUGUCCUAGAGAGCCUGGCGUAUAGCGUGAUCUCGAGGAUCGAGGACGUGCUGGGUGCGGACGCGGCGGCCACGAACCUGACGGCGAGCGAGGCGGCGCGGAGGCAGCUGGAGAUGAAAGCGCCAAGGAAGCUGGACGCCAGGGAGGAGCUGGAGAAGCUCAACGAGGCGCCGGCGUCCAUGACGCUCUACGACUUCAUGGGAUGGCACUUCGACCAGGACGAGCUCAUGAGGAAGAAGGAGGAGGGCACGCUCGACGAGGCCGGCGAGGCCAUGCUGCUCAAGAAGGCGCCAAGCCUCGCCCCCAAGAAGUUCUCCUACGUGGACAGCCUCGCCGGCGGCGUAAGGAGCCCCUCCGCGCAUCACUGA
rnacentral:rRNA from 1 species